rnacentral:lncRNA from 1 species
UAACUUUGGUAUCGAAGACUUCGGCCAUAGCUGGAAGAUCCACUGAGAUGGGCUCCACAAUAGUGACCUCGGUAACCUCCUGAUUCGCCUUCUUAGCUUGUUCCUUAGGUACUUCGACAGAUGGUUUGGGCUCCCCUUCAAUACCCAUAUCAAUAGCAAUCUUUGGAGUCAUCUUGAAAAUAUCAACUUCAGGAAAUAACUUCUUGAUUAGAUUCCGACAUUGAUAGAACCCAUAGUC